GAGUUUGAUCAUGGCUCAGGAUGAACGCUGGCGGCGUGCUUAACACAUGCAAGUCGAACGAGGAAUUUUAAAUGAGACUUCGGUGGAUUUUAAAAUUCUUAGUGGCGGACGGGUGAGUAACGCGUGGGCAACCUGCCCUGUACAGGGGGACAACAGCUGGAAACGGCUGCUAAUACCGCAUAAGACCACGGAGCCGCAUGGCUCAGUGGGAAAAACUCCGGUGGUACAGGAUGGGCCCGCGUUGGAUUAGGUAGUUGGUGAGGUAACGGCCCACCAAGCCGACGAUCCAUAGCCGACCUGAGAGGGUGACCGGCCACGUUGGGACUGAGACACGGCCCAAACUCCUACGGGAGGCAGCAGUGGGGAAUCUUCCGCAAUGGGCGAAAGCCUGACGGAGCAACGCCGCGUGAGUGAAGAAUUAUUUCGGUAUGUAAAGCUCUAUCAGCAGGGAAGAAAAUGACGGUACCUGACUAAGAAGCCCCGGCUAACUACGUGCCAGCCGCCGCCGUAAC
rnacentral:rRNA from 1 species